CGUUGUUCGUGAAAACUCACAGCUUAACUGUGGGCGUGCGGGCGAUACGGGCAGACUAGAGUACUGCAGGGGAGACUGGAAUUCCUGGUGUAGCGGUGGAAUGCGCAGAUAUCAGGAGGAACACCGGUGGCGAAGGCGGGUCUCUGGGCAGUAACUGACGCUGAGGAGCGAAAGCGUGGGGAGCGAACAGGAUUAGAUACCCUGGUAGUCCACGCCGUAAACGGUGGGUACUAGGUGUGGGUUCCUUCCUUGGGAUCCGUGCCGUAGCUAACGCAUUAAGUACCCCGCCUGGGGAGUACGGCCGCAAGGCUAAAACUCAAAGGAAUUGACGGGGGCUCGCACAAGCGGCGGAGCAUGUGGAUUAAUUCGAUGCAACGCGAAGAACCUUACCUGGGUUUGACAUGCACAGGACGCCGGCAGAGAUGUCGGUUCCCUUGUGGCCUGUGUGCAGGUGGUGCAUGGCUGUCGUCAGCUCGUGUCGUGAGAUGUUGGGUUAAGUCCCGCAACGAGCGCAACCCUCGUCCUAUGUUGCCAGCGGGUUAUGCCGGGGACUCGUAGGAGACUGCCGGGGUCAACUCGGAGGAAGGUGGGGAUGACGUCAAGUCAUCAUGCCCCUUAUGUCCAGGGCUUCACACAUGCUACAAUGGCCGGUACAAAGGGCUGCGAUGCCGUGAGGUGGAGCGAAUCCUUUCAAAGCCGGUCUCAGUUCGGAUCGGGGUCUGCAACUCGACCCCGUGAAGUCGGAGUCGCUAGUAAUCGCAGA
rnacentral:rRNA from 1 species